AUCAAAGAGCCCUCUACUAUCAGAAGUCUUCUUCCUGUUGGAAGGUGCACCCAUACUGUUUGUGAUGCAGCUGAAUAAAGCAGCAAGUCCCCAGUCUUCAGUCCUCAGUGACUUUUACAUAAUACUUCACGGAAAGAUGACACCCUGCCAACCAUCACAUGCACUUUGGGCUGACUUUUAAAGUGUUUAUUCAAGGUAAACUCCCACUAAUGUGUGGUGGAUUUUUUGCCUGUGUUAGGACAGCAGGAUAAAGCCAUUGGUUUAGUUGGACUUUUAUGUGAAAGACAAACUUCCUUCCUUCACCUUGCAGGUGAUCAUCAUAUGGUAUAAAACACGAAAAUGUUAUUUUUUUCUACAAGGUACAAACAAGCUGUAAUAUGUAAAUUACACAUAUUUUGAUAUUUAUGUGCUACUGUGGUAACAAAUCUAGUGACCUCAAUAACUUUUGCAUUAGUUCCUAAAAUGUGUGUCUUAU